GGGGGGAGCAAGCGUUGUUCGGAAUCACUGGGCGUAAAGGGCGUGUAGGCGGUUCGGUAAGUGGGAUGUGAAAUGCCCGGGCUCACCCCGGGACCUGCAUCCCAAACUGCUGAGCUUGAGUACAGGAGAGGGUGGGGGAAUUCCAGGUGUAGCGGUGAAAUGCGUAGAUAUCUGGAGGAACACCGGUGGCGAAGGCGCCCACCUGGCCUGCUACUGACGCUGAUGCGCGAAAGCUAGGGGAGCAAACGGGAUUAGAUACCCCGGUAGUCCUAGCCGUAAACGGUGAUCACUAGGUGUUGGGAGCAUCGACCCUUCCAGUGCCGCAGCUAACGCAUUAAGUGAUCCGCCUGGGGAGUACGGCCGCAAGGUUGAA
rnacentral:rRNA from 1 species